GAUGAAGAACGUAGCGAAAUGCGAUAAGUAAUUUGAAUUGCAGAAUUCAGUGAAUCAUCGAAUCUUUGAACGCACCUUGCACCCUUUGGCUAUUCCGAAGGGUAUGCCUGUUUGAGUAUCAUGAACACCUCAACUCUCAUGGUUUGCCAUGAUGAGCUUGGACUUUGGGGGUCUUGCUGGCCUGUGGUCAGCUCCUCUCAAAUGGAUUAGCUUGCCAGUGUUUGGUGGCAUCACAGGUGUGAUAACUAUCUACGCUUGUGGUUUUCCACCAGGUAACCUUCAGCAAUGGGGGUUCGCUGGGGCUCAUAAAUGUCUCUCCUCAGCGAGGACAGCUCUUUGAACGUUUGAUCUCAAAUCAGGUAGGACUACCCGCUGAACUUAAGCAUAUCAAUAAGCGGAGGA
rnacentral:misc_RNA from 1 species